UGAGUAACGCGUGGGUAACCUGCCCUUAAGUCUGGGAUACCAUUUGGAAACAGAUGCUAAUACCGGAUAAAAGCUACUUUCGCAUGAAAGAAGCUUAAAAGGCGGCGUAAGCUGUCGCUAAAGGAUGGACCUGCGAUGCAUUAGCUAGUUGGUAAGGUAACGGCUUACCAAGGCGAUGAUGCAUAGCCGAGUUGAGAGACUGAUCCGGCCACAGUUGGGACUUAGACACGGCCCAAACUCCUACGGGAGGCAGCAGUG
rnacentral:rRNA from 1 species